rnacentral:rRNA from 1 species
UACGGAGGGGGCUAGCGUUGUUCGGAAUUACUGGGCGUAAAGCGCACGUAGGCGGCUUUGUAAGUUAGAGGUGAAAGCCCGGAGCUCAACUCCGGAACUGCCUUUAAGACUGCAUCGCUUGAACGUCGGAGAGGUAAGUGGAAUUCCGAGUGUAGAGGUGAAAUUCGUAGAUAUUCGGAAGAACACCAAUGGCGAAGGCGACUUACUGGACGACUGUUGACGCUGAGGUGCGAAAGCGUGGGGAGCAAACAGG